GGUUCCAUGGUGUAAUGGUUAGCACUCUGGACUCUGAAUCCAGCGAUCGGAUUUCAAAUCUCGGUGGAACCU
rnacentral:tRNA from 1 species